UAAAAGUGUGUAGCACUUCCCCUUCACUCUCUCUCUCUCCUGCCCCAGCCGUGUGAAGAUGUGCCUGCUUCGCCUUCCAUCAUGACUGAAGUUUCCUGAGGCCUCCCCAGCUAUGCUCCCUAUACAGCCUGCAGAACGGUCUGCCCGCAGGUCGGCUGCCUCCAAUCCUGAGGUCAUCACUCAUCAAGAGGGGAUAAUCCCAGGGACAGCAGGAUCUGCUUCGUUACUUGGAUUUAGGAGCCAGAAACCCAUCAGGCAACUAAACAGUAACAAUGACCCGCCAUUAAACACACUGAGAGAAGAGCAUGAUGAAGAGUUUGUACAAGAAGAAGCCAGGAGCACUUGCUGACAAUGCUUACAGAGACGCAGGCUUCUAUGAGCUCUGCCUGUUGAACUGCAGUAAAAAUAGAUCUCCUUCCCCAGAGAGGCUUGGAUGUGGGCACAAUAUCAGUUCAGACGAUGGUCAAUGCAUGUACUUAAUAGAGUGAAAAGACUUUGGACUGUGAAGUCAGAUUACCUGGGUCUGAAUUGUUAUUCUUCUACUUCUUUGUAGUAUGCUUUCACCACAUUAAAAAUUGUCUGAGCCUCAAUUUUUUUAUCUGCAAAAUGGAGCUAAUACCUACACAGGGGCUUUUAAGAGAAUCAAAUGCAACAAUGUUUGAAAAGCAACAUACUCCCCUUUAUGGAAAAAGAGCCUGUAAAGGAACCAAUACAAUGGCUGGGCGUGGUGACUCACACCUGUAAUCCUAGCACUUUGGGAGGCCGAGGUGGGUGGAUUGCCUGAGCUCAGGAGUUCGAGACCAGCCUGGGCAACAUGGUGAAACCCCGACUCUACUAAAAUACAAAAGAUUAUCCUGGCGUGGUGGUGUGCACCUGUUAUCUAAGCUACUUGGGAGGUUGAAGCAGGAGAAUUGCUGGAACCUGGG
rnacentral:lncRNA from 10 species